rnacentral:rRNA from 1 species
AGGGCUCAACCCUUGACCUGCCGUUGAAACUGGAGUUCUUGAAUGCGGAUGCUGUGGGAGGAAUGUGUGGUGUAGCGGUGAAAUGCAUAGAUAUCACACAGAACACCGAUUGCGAAGGCAUCUCACAAAUCCGUGAUUGACGCUGAGGCACGAAAGUGUGGGGAUCAAACAGGAUUAGAUACCCUGGUAGUCCACACUGUAAACGAAGGAAAACUCGCCGUUUGGGGAUACACCAGUCGGGUGGCCAAGCGAAAAGCGAUAAGUUAUCCCCCCUGGGGAGUAGGCCCGCAAGGUUGAAACUCAAAGAAUUGACGGGGGCCCGCACAAGCGGAGGAACAUGGGGUUUAAUUCGAUGAUACGCGAGGAACCUUACCCGGGCUCGAACGGCAAGUGAACGACACAGAGAUGUGAAGGUCCUUCGGGACACUUGUCGAGGUGCUGCAUGGUUGUCGUCAGCUCGUGCCGUGAGGUGUCGGCUCAAGUGCCAUAACGAGCGCAACCCUUGCCUGCAGUUGCCAUCGGGUAAAGCCGGGGACUCUGCAGGGACUGCCACCGCAAGGUGAGAGGAGGGGGGGGAUGACGUCAAAUCAGCACGGCCCUUACGUCCGGGGCGACACACGUGUUACAAUGGCGGCCACAGCGGGAAGCCACCCAGUGAUGGGGCGCGGAUCCCAAAAAAGCCGCCUCAGCUCGGAUCGGAGUAUGCAACCCGACUCCGUGAAGCUGGAUUCGCUAGUAAUCGCGCAUCAGCCAUGGCGCGGUGAAUACGUUCACGGGCCUUGCACACACCGCCCGUCAAG